rnacentral:rRNA from 1 species
UGCAUCGAUGAAGAACGCAGCGAAAUGCGAUACGUAAUGUGAAUUGCAAAUUCAGUGAAUCAUCGAGUCUUUGAACGCACAUUGCGCCCCCUGGUAUUCCGGGGGGCAUGCCUGUCCGAGCGUCAUUGCUGCCCUCAAGCCCGGCUUGUGUGUUGGGCCCCGUCCUCCGAUUCCGGGGGACGGGCCCGAAAGGCAGCGGCGGCACCGCGUCCGGUCCUCGAGCGUAUGGGGCUUUGUCACCCGCUCUGUAGGCCCGGCCGGCGCUUGCCGAUCAACCCAAAUUUUUAUCCAGGUUGACCUCGGAUCAGGUAGGGAUACCCGCUGAACUUAAGCAUAUCAAUAAGCGGAGGA